AGCCACGUGGCCGAGUGGCAAGGCUGGGUAUGCUGAACCUGUAACGACGGUUCGAUUCCGUCCGUGGCGU
rnacentral:tRNA from 1 species